GGUUUACUGUUACGCACGCCAGGGUUGGAAACUUGUGGCUCGCUUCUCUAACCAGGAUCGAAAACAUUGGGUACUAGAUGAAAACUUUUGGUUUGACAGAAUUUCUACCUACGGCGCAACCCUAAAUCCUUCGGACAACCAGGAUAUGAUUUCCGAAGCAUUUUGGAGAACAUCAGCAAGUGAAAUAAGAAUUACCAGGAGUGAUGAUCCAACACAUACCGCGUUGCUGGAAACUACCAACAAUUGCCUCAAGGGAAACACAUUUCGGCGAUUUAUAACUUCGUUUGGAAACUUUCGCUACGGGUAUGUUUGGGCAAGUGAUAAGUCUCUGAGUAGUUGUACGAUCAAAUAUGGUGGACAAUAUCAGAGCACGACUGGAUUCAAUAUGUAUGGGUGCAGUGGUGAGAUUCAAAGCAGUAACUCUAUCGGAUUUUGGUGUGAUUGGGAUCACGGAGAUGGUGCAGUGAUGAUGAUUGGAGGAGGUGGAAGCUCGUGCAAUAGAGCGGAUCAUGGCAUUGGAAUUACUGAAGAACAGGAAGCAAAGUUUGGUGGUAGCAAAGAUUCCCUAGACUUCGGCUACGAGCCUGCAGCGAGCGACGACUACGACGAAAGUAGCACUCAAAAAUUAUACUCUUUGAAUUUGUGGGUGUGAUAAACAUUGGAUUUCAUCAUACUAACGCUUAUACCUUACUUACAUUUAUUAAUAUCUUGUUACAUGGUCAUUACAUCGAACUUGCUCAUGCAAUAGAGCUUACUUAAUUAGCAAUUAUUUUAAUUUUAAGAAGAAUAUAUCUCAACGUGCAACCAGGCAAAGUGAACAUCUUCACCUGCCUAGAAUUAGAACAGAAUCUGCAAAACGUAGUUUCUACUAUAAUGGCUGUAAAAUAUAUAAUAAACUUAAACAGUGCCAAUGACUUUCUAAUUUAGUAUAGAAUUUUUAGCUAUAAUCUUUUAGCUCGUAUUGAACUUGAAUUUAAAUUAUAGAA